UACGUAGGGACCGAGCGUUGUCCGGAAUCAUUGGGCGUAAAGAGCGUGUAGGCGGCUUGCUAAGUCUUGCGUGAAAUCUCGGGGCUCAACCCCGAGCGGUCGUGGGAAACUGGCAGGCUAGAGUGCGGGAGAGGAGAAUGGAAUUCCUGGUGUAGCGGUGAAAUGCGCAGAUAUCAGGAAGAACACCCGUGGCGAAGGCGGCAUCCUGGACCGGUAUUGACGCUGAGGCGCGAAAGCCAGGGGAGCAAACGGG
rnacentral:rRNA from 1 species